GACAGAGGGGGCAAGCGUUGCUCGGAAUUACUGGGCGUAAAGGGCGCGUAGGCGGGACGGCAAGUCGGUCGUGAAAUCCCUCGGCUCAACUGAGGAACGUCGAUCGAUACUGCCGUUCUUGAGGAUUGCAGAGGAGACUGGAAUUCCCGGUGUAGCGGUGAAAUGUGUAGAGAUCGGGAGGAACACCGGUGGCGAAGGCGGGUCUCUGGGCAAUUCCUGACGCUGAGGCGCGAAAGCGUGGGGAGCAGACGGG
rnacentral:rRNA from 1 species